rnacentral:rRNA from 1 species
ACGGAAGGCAGCAGUGAGGAAUAUUGGUCAAUGGACGGAAGUCUGAACCAGCCAAGUCGCGUGCGGGAUGAAGGCCCUACGGGUCGUAAACCGCUUUUGUACGGGGAUAAAGUCACCCACGUGUGGGUGUUUGUAGGUACCGUAAGAAUAAGGAUCGGCUAACUCCGUGCCAGCAGCCGCGGUAAUACGGAGGAUCCGAGCGUUAUCCGGAUUUAUUAGGUUUAAAGGGUGCGCAGGCGGGACAUUAAGUCGGUGGUGAAAUACCGUGGCCCAACCACGGGGCUGCCAUCGAUACUGAUGACCUUGAGUGCGUGUGACGUAGGCGGAAUGUGGAGUGUAGCGGUGAAAUGCUUAGAUAUUCCACAGAACACCGAUUGCGAAGGCAGCCUACGAAUGCGUAACUGACGCUCAUGCACGAAAGCGCGGGUAGCGAACAGGAUUAGAUACCCUGGUA